rnacentral:rRNA from 1 species
AAGAUUGAACUGAAGAGUUUGAUCAUGGCUCAGAUUGAACGCUGGCGGCAGGCUUAACACAUGCAAGUCGAGCGGAAACGAUAGGAGCUUGCUCCUAGGCGUCGAGCGGCGGACGGGUGAGUAACGCGUAGGAAUCUGCCCAGUAGAGGGGGAUAGCCCGGGGAAACUCGGAUUAAUACCGCAUACGCCCUACGGGGGAAAGCAGGGGAUCUUCGGACCUUGCGCUAUUGGAUGAGCCUGCGUGAGAUUAGCUAGUUGGUGGGGUAAAGGCCUACCAAGG